UGUACGCUCACCUCGUGCUGCUUGACUGCUGUAAAGGAUAGACGUACCCCAAGGAAGAUAGGGCUGUGACCUACCUGGAGGUGGUGAGAGCCAGCAGCAGGUCGCAAUCAGCACUUUCUUCAUGGAAUGGAGCACACAGCACAUGGGAAGGGCCUGGUUCCAGAUACAGUCAUAUUCUAAGAUGCUGGGGCACCUAGUGGUAAAGACCAUGGAGAAGGCUGAGCGCCAAAGAACCGCGGUGCUGGACGAGACUCCUGAGAGCCCCUUGGGCUGCAAGAAGAUCCAACCAGUCCAUCCUAAAGAUCAGUCCUGGGUGUUCAUUGGAAGGACUGAUGCUGAAGCUGAAACUCCAAUACUUUGGCCACCUCGUGUGAAGAGCUGACUCAUUGGAAACGACCCUGAUGCUGGGAAAGAUUGAGGGCAGGAGGAGAAGGGACGACAGAGGAUGAGAUGGUUGGAUGGCAUCAUCGACUCGAUGGACAUGGGCUUGGGUGAACUCCGGGAGUUGGUGAUGGACAGGGAGGCCUGGUGUGCUGCAGUCUACUGGGUCUCGCAUAUCCCCUAGAGAAGGAUAUGGCAACCCACUCCAGUGUUUCUCGCCUGUAAAAUCCCGCGGAAAGAGGAGCCUGGCAGGCUACAGUCCACUGGGUCACACCUGAGUGACUGGGCACACACAGGACAUCAGUGACCUUUUUCUUAAAGACAUUUUUAUGUGGAC
ensembl:lncRNA